rnacentral:rRNA from 1 species
GGGAGCGACCAUACUAGCACUAGCACACCGGAUCUCAUCCGAACUCUGAUGUUAAGCGUGCUUGGGCAAGAGUAGUACUAGGAUGGGUUACUCCUUGGGAAAGCCUCGUGUUGCAUCCA